UGCACCACUGGAGCUUUUAAAGCAAAAAGGGGGUAGAAAACACAUGCUAAUUAUGACACCACACACGUUUUUCACUGAUUCACUGCUAAGCUGACUUUAUUCAGUCAAGUUUUCUUCUUCGGUUUAAAUCAAAGCAGAUGCAGAACAGACACAUUUUACCCGGUGUUGUCAGUCUUUUUGGAUCGAGCCGUAUGGGAUCAGAUAUGCAGGAACACAGUGCUGAGUUCAUCACAACAAAAACUUCUGGAGGAAACUCAAAAUACUCUGGUCUGAGUUGAGGAACUUUGCUUUUUCUGCCACUAGAUGAACCAAAGCAACAGCAACAGUUUCUGCUUUUUCCGCAUCUGAAAGCUUUUAACAAUGAAAUAUUAACAGUCGGUGCAGCAGCAUCAUGUGCCUGUAUGUGUCAUCAGCAGCCAGCUACACCUCCAGCCUGCAGAGGAGGUCUCGCCUUGUUGCUCCUGUUCCACAGGCACGCGAAAGAACCAAGUGAGCUGGAGUGUUGCAUGACUUUUUUUUUUUUUUUUAUUAUUCAGAUCAAUGUUUUCAUAUCACUUGGAACUACUCCAUAUCUGGUGUAUAUCAAGAGGGAAUCCCCAGUGUGUCAACAAGAUGACGUAGGGAGAUGUUCUCCAAAAGGUACCUCACUUUGCCCCCUUCUCUGCCCCCUCUGGCACAUGUGUGCCCCUCAGACACGAUGAGGUUCAGGGCCUUUCUGUCCUUAGACGUGGUUCUUUCUGAAAGGGCGGUGCACGCA